rnacentral:rRNA from 1 species
AGGAACCUGCCUUUCAGAGGGGGACAACAGUUGGAAACGACUGCUAAUACCGCAUAAUAUAUGUUUGUCGCAUGGCAGAUAUAUCAAAGAUUUAUCGCUGAGAGAUGGCCUCGCGUCUGAUUAGCUAGUUGGUAGGGUAAUGGCCUACCAAGGCGACGAUCAGUAGCCGGACUGAGAGGUUGGCCGGCCACAUUGGGACUGAGAUACGGCCCAGACUCCUACGGAAGGCAGCAG